rnacentral:rRNA from 1 species
AGAGUUUGAUCCUGGCUCAGGAUGAACGCUAGCGAUAGGCCUAACACAUGCAAGUCGAGGGGCAGCACAUGAAGUAGCAAUACGGAUGGUGGCGACCGGCGCACGGGUGAGUAACGCGUAUGCAAUCUACCUACAACAAGGGAAUAACCCGUUGAAAGACGGACUAAUACCCUAUAAAACAGGGGUCCCGCAUGGGAAUAUUUGUUAAAGAUUUAUCGGUUGUAGAUGAGCAUGCGUUCCAUUAGCUUGUUGGUGAGGUAACGGCCCACCAAGGCAACGAUGGAUAGGGGAACUGAGAGGUUUAUCCCCCACACUGGUACUGAGACACGGACCAGACUCCUACGGGAGGCAGCAGUGAGGAAUAUUGGUCAAUGGACGCAAGUCUGAACCAGCCACGUCGCGUGAAGGAAGACGGCCCUACGGGUUGUAAACUUCUUUUGUAAGGGAAUAAAGUGAGUCACGUGUGACUUUUUGCAUGUACCUUACGAAUAAGGAUCGGCUAACUCCGUGCCAGCAGCCGCGGUAAUACGGAGGAUCCAAGCGUUAUCCGGAUUUAUUGGGUUUAAAGGGUGCGCAGGCGGAAGAUUAAGUCGGCGGUGAAAUUUUGCAGCUCAACUGUAAAAGUGCCUUCGAAACUGGUUUUCUUGAGUGUGGAUGAAGUAGGCGGAAUUUGUGGUGUAGCGGUGAAAUGCAUAGAUAU